rnacentral:lncRNA from 1 species
CUAGCAUGAAAAGAUUAAUCUAACAUAAUGACGGAAUUAAAUAAACAAAAGUGGAACGACGUCACCAAAAAUUGAUAGAAAGUGAAUAAUUCCAGCAGCGUGUGUCGUCUCUUGAUUUCUGUCUGCGUAUCUUCCGUUUAAUUUCAGUGCGUAAUUCUCCUUUUUAAUUCCAAGGCAGUCGUCCUCUGUAGAUGAGUAAAAUAUUUAUUCUUCCAGCCGCCACCUGUGUUUUAAUUCCACCUUCUGCUGUGGUUUUCUGUGCGUGUAUAUAAUGUUGAAUCUCAGAAAUAGUCCACCCCCCAAAGUCCAAUUCCCAGCCUCACGUGUAUAAGAAUUUAAUUCCUCCAAUCCCACUUUCUCUCGAGCUUCCUGUAUGUAUAUAUAUUACUCCAACCAGCCUCCUGUUUUACUCGAAAGAAAAAGGGACCUGCGUUCUGUCUUCUGCGUGUGUAUAUAUUUAUGUUUUUAGCCAACCGCAGCCGGCUUCUCUCCUCUCUUUCUUUUCGGCGUGGAUGUGUAUAUAAUAUUCUAUUUCAGCCCUCGAACCUGCUUUGGUUUUCUGUCCGUCAAUUUGUUGCCGACUUGAAUAAUCCCAAAAGGGAUUCUAAUUUUUCCUCCACGGCAGCCUCCUUUUCCUGUGCGUAUAAUGUGUUC